rnacentral:lncRNA from 1 species
UUUCUUCCUGUUUCUCUUGAUCAAAUUCAGAUGAAUAAUCAGGACUCAAUCUUUGUGUUGUUUUCAGCACAUGAUACUAUUGAAGAAAUUUUCAGCCAAGAGGAACACAAAAAUAAGGAUGUAAAAAUGAGUUACUUGAUAUUAUCUGGAAUAUGCAGCUUCAGGAGCUGUUCUUCCAUCUUCAUCUCCUUCUUUCAAGAGCCUCCGAACUAAAAGAUUCCUCUAUUUGUGUUCAUAUUUGAGAAACAAGUAUUUGCUACAUAUUCCUAACAGUUUAAAGUAUGAAGAAUUUGUAUUUAUUGAUGUUUUUCUCCCACACUGGUCUUGCUCAUACUUGUUUUUUUUUUUUUUUUUGCCCCCAAAGGAAAGAUUCAGUGCAUAUGUAGUAGAUGAUAAGAAGCUCAAUCUAUUUAAACUGGAAAUGUACCUUGUUAAAAUACCAAAUGAAUUUUUUGGUUUCACUAUGUAGUAUACUGUUUUUCCCCCCAUCUUACUGGUUUUAAAAUCCUGAUUGGGUAAUGUUUGGAGGUGCUGGCUGGAGUUACUUUUAGUCUUGU